AAUUGAGCAUUGAUGAAGAAGUGUUAAGCACGGUUAAAGAGACGAAACAACUGGUGAAAGUUUCGAUGUGCCUAACUAGUAGCUUCGGAGCUACUUUUCUGAACGUAUUUUCAGUAGGAAGAGUCGAACUAAAAAGUUCGUUAUCAAUUUAUUAAAGAGGGGUACAUUGUGCCCAAUUUAGGUGGUACCGCGAAGCAUUUCGUCCUAUUU
rnacentral:ncRNA from 1 species